rnacentral:rRNA from 1 species
CACGAACCGUACGAACGUUAUUCGGAAUCACUGGGCUUAAAGGGUGCGUAGGCGGCCCGAAAAGUUGGGUGUGAAAUCCCUCGGCUUAACCGAGGAAUUGCGCUCAAAACUGCCGGGCUAGAGGAAGUCAGAGGUGAGCGGAACUUAGGGUGGAGCGGUGAAAUGCGUUGAUAUCCUAAGGAACACCAGUGGCGAAAGCGGCUCACUGGGGCUUUUCUGACGCUGAGGCACGAAAGCCAGGGGAG